ACUAAACCUAGCCCCGAAAUUUAAUCAACACUACUACUAACCACCAACUAAAUAAAACAUUUAUAUAUCGUCUAAAGUAUAGGAGAUAGAAAUUUUUACUCACCGGCGCAAUAGAAAUAGUACCGCAAGGGAAAGAUGAAAGACCAAUUCAUAGUAUAGAACAGCAAAGAUUAACACUUAUACCUUUUGCAUAAUGAGUUAACUAGAACCUCCUUGGCAAAGAGCACUUCAGUCAAGCACCCCGAAACCAGACGAGCUACUUAUGGACAGUAAGCAGAACCAACUCGUCUAUGUAGCAAAAUAGUGAGAAGAUCUAUAAGUAGAGGUGAAAAGCCAACCGAGCCUGGUGAUAGCUGGUUGUCCAAAACAGAAUAUUAGUUCAACUUAAAAUUUACCCCAAGAAACAAAAACCUAAUCCCACUGUAAAUUUUAAAUAUACUCAAUAGGGGUACAGCUCUAUUGAAACAAGGACUAAACCUAAAUUGGAGAGUAAGCCAUAAUAACUUUUCCAUUGUUGGCCUAAAAGCAGCCACCAAUAAAGAUAGCGUUCAAGCUCAAAAACUAAUUAAACCCUAAAUUCCACAAAACACCAUGCCACCUCCCAAUACCAGACAUUGGACCAAUCUAUAAUCACAAUAGAAGAGAUAAUGUUAACAUAAGUAACAAGAACUUUUUUCUCCGAGCAUAAGCUUACAUCAGAACGAAUACUCUACUGAUAAUUAACAACAUGGUAAUUACAACCCACCAAAUAAUAUAAUACCAUACCCAUUGUUAACCCAACACAGGCAUGCACACCGGAAAGAUUUAAAGAAAUAGAAGGAACUCGGCAAACACGAAUCCCGCCUGUUUACCAAAAACAUCACCUCUAGCAUUACAAUUAUUAGAGGCACUGCCUGCCCAGUGACAUACGUUCAACGGCCGCGGUACCCUGACCGUGCAAAGGUAGCAUAAUCAUUUGUUCUCUAACUAAGGACCUGUAUGAAUGGCCACACGAGGAUUCUACUGUCUCCUAUUUCCAAUCAGUGAAAUUGACCUUCCCGUGAAGAGGCGGGAAUGAUCCUAUAAGACGAGAAGACCCUGUGGAGCUUAAAUUAAUCAGCUCAAUUAACAAUUAUUAAACACCAAUAGGAACAAACACACAUAAUAUGAGCUGCCAAUUUUGGUUGGGGUGACCUCGGAGCAAAACAAACCCUCCGAAUGAUAAGUACCAAGACCCACAAGUCAAAGUCCAUAGUAUCACUUAUUGACCCAAAAUAUUGAUCAACGAAACCAGUUACCCCAGGGAUAACAGCGCAAUCCUAUUCAAGAGCCCAUAUCGACAAUAGGGUUUACGACCUCGAUGUUGGAUCAGGACAUCCUAAUGGUGUAGCCGCUAUUAAGGGUUCGUUUGUUCAACGAUUAAAGUCCUACGUGAUCUGAGUUCAGACCGGAGCAAUCCAGGUCGGUUUCUAUCUAUAAUCAAUUUCUCCCAGUACGAAAGGACCAGAGAAAUGAGGCCAACUUUAUAAAAGCGCCUUAAGUCUAAAUGGAUGAAAUUAAUCUCAACCCAAACCACUAUACCAACUAUGCUCAAAACCAGAGCCCU
rnacentral:rRNA from 1 species